CCAGACUCCUACGGGAGGCAGCCGUGGGGGCUCUUGGACAAUGGGGGACCCCCUGAUCCAGCGACGCCGCGUGCGUGACGAAGUAUUUCGGUAUGUAAAGCUCUGUCAGCAGGGAAGACAGAAAUGACGGUACCUGACCAAGAAGCCCCGGCUAACUACGUGCCAGCAGCCGCGGUAAUACGUAGGGGGCAAGCGUUGUCCGGAAUUACUGGGGGGAACGGGAGCGCAGGCGGGAAGCCAAGUCAGCUGUGAAAACUACGGGCUGAACGGGGAGACGGCAGGGGAAACGGGUGGGCGUGAGGGAAGGAGAGGUGGGCGGAAUGCCGAGGGGAGCGGUGAAAGGCGGAGAGAGUCGGAGGAACACCGGGGGCGAAGGCGGCCAACGGGGCGGGAACUGACGCGGAGGCGCGAAAGGGGGGGGAGCAAACAGGAGGAGAGACCCGGGUAA
rnacentral:rRNA from 1 species